UACGUAGGGUGCAAGCGUUGUCCGGAAUCACUGGGCGUAAAGCGCACGUAGGCGGAUCUUUAAGUCAGGGGUGAAAUCCUGGAGCUCAACUCCAGAACUGCCUUUGAUACUGGGGAUCUCGAGUCCGGGAGAGGUGAGUGGAACUCCGAGUGUAGAGGUGAAAUUCGUAGAUAUUCGGAAGAACACCAGUGGCGAAGGCGGCUCACUGGCCCGGUACUGACGCUGAGGUGCGAAAGCGUGGGGAGCAAACAGG
rnacentral:rRNA from 1 species